rnacentral:rRNA from 1 species
CCGUUGGUGAAACCAGCGGAGGGAUCAUUACUGGGGUUUACGCUCUUCAACCCUUUGUGAACAUACCUAUAACUGUUGAAAAAAAAGGGUAGGGUCUCCGCGACCCUCCCGGCCAAAAAAACUCCGGGCGGGUCGGCGCCCGCGGGGAGGAUAACCAAAACUCUGAUUUAACGACGUUUCUUCUGAGUGGUACAAGCAAAUAAUCAAAACUUUUAACAACGGAUCUCUUGGUUCUGGCAUCGAUGAAGAACGCAGCGAAAUGGAGAAAGUAAUGUGAAUUGCAGAAUUCAGUGAAUCAUCGAAUCUUUGAACGCACAUUGCGCCCGCCAGCAUUAUGGCGGGCAUGCCUGUUCGAGCGUCAUUUCAACCCUCAAGCUCUGCUUGGUGUUGGGGCCCUACAGCUGAUGUAGGCCCUCAAAGGUAGUGGCGGACCCUCCCGGAGCCUCCUUUGCGUAGUAACUUUACGUCUCGCACUGGGAUCCGGAGGGACUCUUGCCGUAAAACCCCCCAAUUUUCCAAAGGUUGACCUCGGAUCAGGUAGGAAUACCCGCUGAACUUAAGCAUAUCAAUAAGCGGAGGAA